GCCGACAUUAGAGCAAAUAAGUGCAUCCUUGCUGAUGAAGCUAUAACUUCUUAGAGAGAGGAAAUAGGAAAAAAUAGCAAGAAGCAUGAGAAUGGAAACAAGAAGGAUGAGUCAAUAAGAAAGCAAAACCAAAAAGAAAGAAAUUCCAUGAGACAUUGGAGACCACCAUAAAGGUUUGAGAGGUACACUUUUCUUGAUGCUCUAAGAGCUUAGAUCCUAAUGA
rnacentral:lncRNA from 1 species